rnacentral:pre_miRNA from 1 species
AUUACCUGAGGGUCUUGUUAAAAUGCAGAUCCUGAUUCAGUAAUUCUGGGCUGAAGCCUGAGUUUCUGCAUUUUUAACAAGUUCCCAGGUGAUGCUUA